AAACUUUAAAACUUUCAACAACGGAUCUCUUGGUUCUCGCAUCGAUGAAGAACGCAGCGAAAUGCGAUACGUAAUGUGAAUUGCAGAUUUUCGUGAAUCAUUGAAUCUUUGAACGCACAUUGCGCCCUCUGGUAUUCCAGAGGGCAUGCCUGUUUGAGCGUCAUU
rnacentral:rRNA from 2 species